AAGCAAUGAACUGGUCUGACAGCAGGCAGUUUUGCAGAGAUCAUGGUGGUGAUCUGGUCAUUAUCAAAAGUACACAGAAACAGAAUCUUGUAUAUACAUUAGUCAAAGAGAUGCAUUUUACUUUCUGGAUUGGUUUGUCUGACCUAGAGAAUGAAGGUCACAUGAAGUGGGUGGAUAAUUCACCUCUGAAUCAAACGUUUUGGCGUACAGGUGAGCCGAAUGACGUGAAUGGAAAUGAGGACUGUGUUGAAUUGGAUCCUACACCCGACAUGAACAACUGGAAUGAUAUGCCAU